AGAUUUUAUAAUGUGUUUUGGUGGUGUGAUAAUUCGGCAUGUGUACCAUAGUUUACUGAGUAUUUUUUGAUGGAUUUACUUGUGAUCCAGAAGCAGACCCAAAUGAUUCUGUCUUCUAUAAGACUAGGAGGUUCCGGAUGACCGAGAUAUACAUAUCAACUUAUCCCAUCAAUACAGAAGAAGAUGAAACAACCACCAAAUCAGCCAUCCUGGAGACCAUUAUCUACUAUUCACUUUAAAUCGCUCCAUAAUUAUCAUCAAUCUUUAAACAUUCUUAGUAAUUAACUCUUCUUUUUUAUCAUUUUAAACAAUUUUUUCUAAUCAUUUUAGCAAUUUUUAACAAUCUUUAUACUGUACAUAAAUAAAUUUAAAAAUCCUGUGACGUCACCAUUACUGUAUAUAAGGCGUCACGAAAUGAAAUGGGGUUUAACGUCCUACUGUUCUGCUCCUAUACUGGGCUAAUGAAGACGGGCAUACGCCAUACAGUGUGCUAUGAGUGAAAUUUUUGCCCGGGCAGCGGCACUAUCGCCUACUCUUAUAUCGAAUUCCAACUGCCAAGGGAUCUUUUACGUGCAUUCCAAUGUAUACACAGGACCUCGGUUUUUCGUCUCAUCCGAAGGACCAGACAGCUGUCCUUGUCAGGCCCUCCGUUCUGCACCACUGACAAGGGGAAACCACGUCGAAAAAUCCAGAUGAACUUUCUCGGCCAAUGCAGGGAUCGAACACCCGACCUCCAGGCUAGCGAGCCAGCGUCUUAACCACCUAGCCACUGUGGCUCCCAAUAAGGCGUCACAGGAUCAUCAUAAUUUAAUCUUGAUAAAGGGUAUUGCACCCGAAACGUCGACCCAUUAAACAAUCUUCUACAAGUCUGUUGUGUAUUCUGUUGAGCGGGGAUUCUUUAAUUUUAUGUAUCUAUUGUGUAUGGGUUUAUGUUUUGGGAGGUAUACAGAUUCAUAUAAUAUUCAUGUAUGGUGUUUAGUAUAUCAAUAUUAUUAGGCUUUCAAGCACAAAUUAUGGCAUUGUAUGCAAAUUUUUAUGAAUUGUAUUCAUUUUAUAUAAAGUUUCUUUGUAUAUAAGAACAAAAACAAGCCUGUCUUCGUUGAUAGAUCUCAAUACCACAAAAAAAUAUUGUAUCCACCGCCAUGUUUAAUGGGGUCGUUGCUGAUUGGCUACAAUUUUUGGAGUUAGAUAGAGGUUCUAAUCGAGACAAAAUAAUUAGAUUC